rnacentral:rRNA from 1 species
CGCAUCUGUGCAUGCAGCAUAUCAAUAAGCGGAGGAAAAGAAACUAACAAGGAUUCCCUUAGUAACGGCGAGUGAAGCGGGAAGAGCUCAAAUUUGAAAUCUUCAAGGUUUUACCUUGACGAAUUGUUAGUUUAAAGAAGUGUUUUCUGUUGAAGUUUUGGUAAAAGUUCUUUGGAAUAGGACAUCAUAGAGGGUGAGAAUCCCGUAUUUGACCAUUAUUUUCAGCUGUGUGAUACACUUUCAAAGAGUCGGAUUGUUUGGGAAUGCAGUCCAAAAUGGGUGGUAAAUUUCAUCUAAAGCUAAAUAUUGGCGAGAGACCGAUAGCGAACAAGUACCGUGAGGGAAAGAUGAAAAGAACUUUGAAAAGAGAGUUAAACAGUACGUGAAAUUGUCAAAAGGGAAGCGUUUGACACCAGUGUUGUUUUCUCGAAAAUCAAUUAAAAAGAGUUAGAUUUUGUUGUGUAUUGACCUUAACAGCUUGCAUUUCAGUUUUCUUGCUUUUUUUAAUGCACUUUUCGUUUAACAAGUCAACAUCAGUUUCUUUGUUGUAAAAAGGUCAUCGGAAGGUGGCUCUCUUUUCGGAGAAAGUGUUUAUAGCCUUUGACUCCUGCAAUCGGAGAGACUGAGGUCUGCAGCGUAGAUCCUUCGGGGUUAGAUACAUUUGUGCUGAGUUAUAGCUUUUUAUAGACAACUUGUUGACUAUGAUUAGUCUUGUAGCUUACUCGCUUAUGCUAUUUUACCUACGCUUAGGAUGUUGACGCGCGUGUGUGCGUG